AUACGAAGGGGGCUAGCGUCGUUCGGAAUUACUGGGCGUAAAGCGCAUGUAGGCGGACAUUUAAGUCAGGGGUGAAAUCCCGGGGCUCAACCUCGGAACUGCCUUUGAUACUGGGUGUCUAGAGUGUGGAAGAGGUAAGUGGAAUUCCGAGUGUAGAGGUGAAAUUCGUAGAUAUUGGAGAACACCAGUGGCGAAGGCGCUUUCUGGACCGUAACUGACGCUGAGAUACGAAAGCGUGGGGAGC
rnacentral:rRNA from 1 species